UGUGGACAUUAUUACCCGUCUUUACUCCGUAGUAUUCCACAUACCACUUCACAAACUUCUUUAGCCCGGUCGCGAGAUCGGUCGUCGGCCGGUAGCCGAAGUCUUUCUCGGCCAAGCUCACGUUGGCAUGCGUGUAGGGCACGUCGCCGUUCUGCGGCAGCGUCACCACGUUCUUCUUCGCCUUCUUCCCCAGCAGCUCCUCCAGGAUCCCUACCAUCUUUGCCACCGGCACCGGCGACGUAUUGCCGAGGUUGUAGACCCGCAGCUGCGCGGGACCCCGCUUCUUGCUGCCGCUGCCGGUGCUCGGCUUCGCGGUGUCGAGCGCGCCGAGGCAGCCCUUGAC
rnacentral:lncRNA from 1 species